rnacentral:lncRNA from 1 species
CCUCAUUUGUUGACAUGUGGAACUACAAUCAGUAAAAUCUAACCAAACUUGAGUGGUGUAAGAAAUUAGUAUUGAAAAUUUAACCUUAGGUUAUACCCUUGGAAAGAGAAAAGAAAAUAAGCUUGGGGGUGUGUGAAUCCCACGAGCGAAGUAAGGAAAAAUUUGACUUCUAAGGUCGGGAAUUGGAUCAACUUAUUAUUGUACAGCGUUAUACUUAACUCUCCACACACACACCCAUUUGCAUUGAAUGAGCGAGGAUUUGACGCCUGCAUUAUAGUUUUGAAGUACUUCAUGAAUUUGACGCUGUGUUCUUGAUCUUGAGUAAUAAAUGCAAGGUGUCUAACAUAAAGUUUCUUUUGAGUGACUUUGUCUGUCUUAGUCGUGUUUUUGUGCUCGUUAAUAAUUAUCUUUAGUUUUGUGUUUGCUCGAGGACAAGCAAAGAACUAAGUUUGGGGGUGUUUGAUGAGUGUAAUUCACUCAUUAAACUAAAGCUUCUAAAUCAAGUUUUUUGAUGUGUUCUUGAGCAUUUUUGAACGUUUUGAUGUGUGUGUUAGUGUUGUUUUGCAGUUUGGACAACUCUCGAGAAAAUACCACUAUUGGGAGCCGGUGAUGAGCAAAAAAUAAUGAUCAAUGAAAUGGAGCAUGAAUAAGCAAGUAUUGAAUAAGAUUGGAGUGGAAAAUAGGCUUGGAAAAACAAAGAGAAGAGAAGCAAAGCAGUGGCAUUGGCACCACGGCGUCGAAAAAGGGGCGCCAUGGAUACAAUUCCAACACAGA